rnacentral:tRNA from 1 species
GCGGCCGUGGUUUAAGGGUUAAAAUCAGGUAAUAAACUGGUCUGUUCGUAUUCGUCGAUAAAAGAAUUAACAAGUUCCAGCGCUUCCCAUAAGAUGAAAGUUGUUCACUCAACUCAAUCCGCAAUGAUUUGCGCUGGCUCCGGGUUCGAGUCCCGGCGGCCGCA